rnacentral:rRNA from 1 species
UGGGGAAUAUUGGACAAUGGGGGAAACCCUGAUCCAGCCAUGCCGCGUGAAUGAUGAAGGCCUUCGGGUUGUAAAGUUCUUUUGACAGGGACGAUGAUGACGGUACCUGUAGAAUAAGCUCCGGCUAACUUCGUGCCAGCAGCCGCGGUAAUACGAAGGGAGCUAGCGUUGUUCGGAAUUACUGGGCGUAAAGGGCGCGUAGGCGGUUUGACAAGUUGGAUGUGAAAGCCCAGGGCUCAACCCUGGAAUUGCAUUCAAGACUGUCUUACUUGAAUUCGGUAGAGGUUGGUAGAAUUCCCAGUGUAGAGGUGAAAUUCGUAGAGAUUGGGAAGAAUACCCGUGGCGAAGGCGGCCAACUGGACCGACAUUGACGCUGAGGCGCGAAAGCGUGGGGAUCAAACAGGAUUAGAUACCCCCGUAGUCC